AUACUACUCCCUCCGUCCCAAAAUUUUUGUCUUAAUUUUUCUAAAUACGGAUGUAUCAAGUCACGUUUUAGUAUUAGGUACAUCCGUAUCUAGAUAAAUCUAAGACAAGAAUUUUGGGAUGGAGGGAGUAGUUG
rfam:Triticum aestivum genome assembly, contig: Triticum_aestivum_CS42_TGACv1_scaffold_605052_7DL